AUAUAUAUGCAUCAUGAGUCCGUGACUCAUAUUCGCCAACCAUCUCAAAGUAAUUCUCUCACGCCUCUCUCCACCUCCAUCUCCUCAUUCCCAUUCACAACCAACUGCUCUCAAUUUUUCUCCGUCGCCAAUUGCCACAAUAAGGGCGGAGUCCACAAAACAGAGAUGAACAACUUUACUUUGUUGGUGAAAGGGAUGAGAUUGCCAAGAGAAUUGACAGAUUUCUAGCUCAAUCGGAGGUAAAUAGGGCUCCCACAGUCUCGCUCAUUGAUCUCAUACACACACAGCUCUUGAACCUUAUCAAAACCCAAAACAAAAGAAAAUUGCAAUUAAAAAAAAUUGAUGGGAAAGAAAUCUGGAUUUGAGGUAUGCAGAACUCCUACAAGUCAUUGUUGCUGCUGCUGAGAUCAAUGAUAGGAGUAGGGUUUGAAGGUUGGGGUUUGGAUUUAAAUUAGUGGGGUUAAAGUAUUCGUUUACUUCUCGCCUCACUUGAACGGCGUCCAUGAUGGUUGGAAUUCAGAAGAGUUUUGCCAGUACACGUGAGAAAGAGAGGGGGAGGGAUAUUCAAAAAAAAAAUUAUUUAGAUCGAAUUCAAAUUUUCAGAUCAGAUAUCCGAUUUUACAAAUUAAGAUACGGAUUACCACCACCGGAUUUAUGAAUUUCGGAUUCAGAUUGAAUACGAGCAAUUGUGGAUUUGGAUCGAAUUCAAAUCUGUCAGAUUUGGAUCGAAUUCAAAUCUAUCAAAUUUGGAUUCAAUCAGGUCCAUUGACAGGUCUACUGCUGUGAGUUGUUUAUGUUAUCGAAACUUCUACUUUUGUCUGCGAUACUGUAACUAUUAAAGUAAGUACAAUGAGUAAUUCUUCUGUCAAAGCUGAAGGAAAACUAAAGACGACAAUAAUUUAAUGCAAAGAAAUCAGUAGAAGCAUCUUGCAAUUAAUUAAUGAAGUAAAAAGAGAAACAAUAAUGGCAUUUUUAAUUGUAACGCCAACUAUACUGUUAAAUGUUAAUUAAAUGAUUUUCUUUUAUUUUUUUUGGGAACAUAUCAUACUGUUUACAUGAUAGAAUUUGCCUAGUUAAAGGAAUAAUUACCAACAAGAAGGUGUGCAUUAAUUGCCUAAUAAGCGUGUUUAUGGUGCUCAUUAAAACUACCCUUUAUAUGAUGCAUUUGCCUUUUCCAUUUCAGCCCAAAACUCACCUAAACUAACCCAAUUUUCCUUUUCCAAAUAGCUAGUAUAAGCUUCUAAAGCAAACUCAGAAAAAUCCUUUUGCUUCUUUUUCCUCAGAAGUACAAAAAUCCCUAGGAGUAUUUUCAGCUUUUAACUUUUUCGUGAUCCCACAUCUUGAGAGAGAGAAAGAGAGAGAAAAAUGACACUCCUACCAGGGAGGUACCCAAAAGGGUCAGCAUGAAUGGAAAAAUUACUCAGUACCCCUGGCACCUCUCUUCAACCACACAUUUUUGUGGGGUGUGGUUGGGAGAGGCUUGGGGCGGCAGUGAAUAAUAUCUCGCAUAAGGGUGUUUUCAGUGGUAAAUAAAUUGUGAAAAAAAAUUGUUACAUAAUAAAUAAAUUGUUAAGAAAUGUCAAAGUUAUUUUCGGUGGUGAAAAAAUUAUAAUUGAUAUGUGAGUGAAAAAGUUAUUGAGAAAGAAGUUGAUCAGAAGUUGUUAGUUAGUAUGAACGAGAUAGUAAAAUGUCAAAACUUGUUGAUUAGUGUGAGACAACAUGGUAUAAACGCCAACUCUUUUCCCUCAAAUAGUUACUGGAAACACCAAAUGAUACCAGGGAGGCACUCAAAAAGGAUCAGCACAAACACAUCUUCUCGGAAGUACAAGGAAGAUCAUUCAUUACCUAUGGAUCACUUGGUGAUGGCAUAAACAGCAUAAAUGAUACCAGGGAGGUACCCAAAAAGGGUCAGCACCAAACAGAUCCAGAACUCCACCU